GACGAACCGGGCGAACGUUAUUCGGAAUCACUGGGCUUAAAGGGCGCGUAGGCGGGCUGACAAGUCUGGGGUGAAAUCCCACGGCUCAACCGUGGAACUGCCUUAGAUACUGUCGGCCUCGAGGAAGGUAGGGGCAUGCGGAACUGUAGGUGGAGCGGUGAAAUGCGUUGAUAUCUACAGGAACUCCGGUGGCGAAAGCGGCGUGCUGGACCUUUUCUGACGCUGAGGCGCGAAAGCUAGGGGAGCAAACGGG
rnacentral:rRNA from 1 species